GCUGGGACUUCCUCUAUCCAUGUUUCUAAGAGUAUAAAAUGGGCCAAACACUGUGUGUCUGCUGUUCUCCUACAGUGACUCUCCACAAGACAGAGUGGAGAAGAUCUCAUGAUCAUCUGAACAGCCGGUAGAGAAGAGCAGGGCAGAAUGGAGAUGACUGAGGGCAUCUAUCGACAUGUAGCCCCUGAUGAAGUCAACAGACCCUCUAUGGACAAACAUUAAGAAACAGACACUGCUACCAGAGAAGAAAACAGCAGGGAAAGAUUCCAUAUUCAAAGUCAAGUGAGCUGCCAGAGAGAGAGAAAAAGAAAUGGAGAGAAGAAUGGAGGGCUGCAUCCAGUGCUUAUGUUACACUCCAACCAGCUGCGGAGUGGAUAUAAAAUGUGCUUUUAAGAAAAGACACAGACAGCGUGCUGCUUUCGUCAGUUUGCCAACAAACAUACCUAUUUCCGAACCACCCUGCUCAUUCUGGAACCUUUCUGAAGACGCUCAUUCUGCACUGGAUUUAACGGUAAGUGACACAAAACUUUCAUCUCCUUCAUUUCAUUCAUAAUAAUUACCCCUGUUGUCUGCAAAUCAAAACAUGAAGUGAUAUUCCUUUAAGUAAAACAACAAGGGGCGUUCCUCUUAAACUCCAUGGGUGUUAACCGGUCAGCUGUUAGCUAGAGUCUAGGGCUGUCUACUACCGGACACUUGAGCACUGACUUUCAGUGCUUAGGGCGUUCACACUGACAGAGCCAGCAGAAUUCAGUGCACUGAAAGUACCCGGAUGGCGCACUGCAAACGGGCAAAAAAUGCAGUGUGAAACGAUGGACACUACUGGCCCUAAACGGGCUCCAUCUUGGCUACGUAGCGGAAGAGGAGGAGCCCUCUCGCCAGCUUUUCAUUUUAUUUCUAAAACAAUGGCGGACGAGAUGGCUACGGUAGCACAAGAGGUAGACCACGAAGCAACAGACCGUAAAUGUAAGUAUCUGCGGUAAUUAAACAUUGUACUGAUAUUAAAAUGUACUACUAACAUGCCAUUCUCAGAUUAAAGCCAGCGACAUGAGUAUUUGGUGGCGUUAACGAUGUAUAUGAUGUAUACCGACUGUUAGCAUACCUAGCUAGCUAGCAUUAGAUGCCAUUGGAUCUGCAUGGCAGUUAUGAUAAGCUAGCUGGCUAAUCCACCACCCGGUCCUCUUUGCCAGUCCGACGAAGGUGCACUUUUAUCGGACACUUUUAGCUUGACGAGCGGGGGCAGGUGGCGGUCAGUCCGACGACAGAUAGCUAUGUCAGUCAUCGGACAUUGUUAAACAACGGCUGUUCUGUUAAACAAUCGAAAUAGCAAUUUUAAUAAUGGAUAUGCUCAGUUUAAUAAUGGGUUAACAUGACAACGCAAACGUUUGACCACACGCCGCCCAAUAAUUAAUACCGUUACGAUAGCUAUCUAAGCUUGUCCUUCUAGAAAUAAUUGUAGCUUUCAAUCAUCGUUGUGUGUUUUUUAUUUUAAUGUCGUGGUAUUUCACAUGUCUAGGGACAGACGAGGACACGAGGGCCUUAAUCCCGUGGCGGUC
rnacentral:lncRNA from 1 species